rfam:Pseudomonas alcaligenes NBRC 14159 DNA, contig: PA6034.
CGUGCCUAGGGAGAAGGCACGGUCGCCAGGAUGGUGGCCAGGGAACCACUGCAGGAUGCAGUUCAUCAGGAAGAUGAAAGGAUUCUCAGGGAGUAGGGAAGAAAGAGCGGGCGGUUAAUCACCGCCCCUUUUUUU